rnacentral:tRNA from 1 species
AAACAAUGAAGUAAUAUAUUACAUUUAGUUUCGACCUAAAAGUUAGAUCAAAAAUCCUUGUUUA